GGGGGACAACCCGCCGAAAGGCGGGCUAAACCCGCGUACAUGCCACCGGGGCAUCCCGGAGGCAGGAAAGGCUUCGGCCGGACAGGGAUGGGCAUGCGGCGCAUUAGGCAGUAGGCGGGGUAACGGCCCACCUAACCGACGAUGCGUAGGGGUUCUGAGAGGAAGGUCCCCCACACUGGUACUGAGACACGGACCAGACUCCUACGGGAGGCAGCAGUGAGGAAUAUUGGUCAAUGGUCGGGAGACUGAACCAGCCAAGCCGCGUGAGGGAGGAAGGUACAGAGUAUCGUAAACCUCUUUUGUCAGGGAACAAAGACUGGGACGCGUCCCCGGAUGAGUGUACCUGAAGAAAAAGCAUCGGCUAACUCCGUGCCAGCAGCCGCGGUAAUACGGAGGAUGCGAGCGUUAUCCGGAUUUAUUGGGUUUAAAGGGUGCGCAGGCGGUCUGUUAAGUCAGCGGUCAAAGCCCGGGGCUCAACCCCGGCCCGCCGUUGAAACUGGCAGUCUCGAGUUGGAGAGAAGUAUGCGGAAUGCGCGGUGUAGCGGUGAAAUGCAUAGAUAUCGCGCAGAACUCCGAUUGCGAAGGCAGCAUGCCGGCUCCACACUGACGCUGAGGCACGAAAGCGUGGGUAUCGAACAGGAUUAGAUACCCUGGUAGUCCACGCAGUAAAC
rnacentral:rRNA from 1 species